rnacentral:rRNA from 1 species
AACGCUAGCUACAGGCUUAACACAUGCAAGUCGAGGGGCAGCAGGACAGUAGCUUGCUACUGUUGCUGGCGACCGGCGCACGGGUGAGUAACGCGUAUCCAACCUUCCCCUUAGUAGGGCAUAGCCCGGCGAAAGUCGGAUUAAUACCCUAUGUUUUCCGAAGAGGACAUCUGAUUUGGAAUAAAGACUUGUCGCUAAGGGAUGGGGAUGCGUCUGAUUAGGUAGUCGGCGGGGUAACGGCCCACCGAGCCUUCGAUCAGUAGGGGUUCUGAGAGGAAGGUCCCCCACAUUGGAACUGAGACACGGUCCAAACUCCUACGGGAGGCAGCAGUGAGGAAUAUUGGUCAAUGGGCGAGAGCCUGAACCAGCCAAGUAGCGUGCAGGAUGACGGCCCUAUGGGUUGUAAACUGCUUUUGCAGGGGAAUAAAGUGAGGGACGCGUCCCUUUUUGUAUGUACCCUGAGAAUAAGGACCGGCUAAUUCCGUGCCAGCAGCCGCGGUAAUACGGAAGGUCCGGGCGUUAUCCGGAUUUAUUGGGUUUAAAGGGAGCGCAGGCGGUGGCUUAAGCGUGACGUGAAAUGCCGCGGCUCAACCGUGGAAGUGCGUCGCGAACUGGGCCGCUUGAGUGAGAACGACGUAGGCGGAAUUCGUGGUGUAGCGGUGAAAUGCUUAGAUAUCACGAAGAACUCCGAUUG